CCCAGACUCCUACGGGAGGCAGCAGUGAGGAAUAUUGGUCAAUGGGCGAGAGCCUGAACCAGCCAAGUCGCGUGAGGGAAGACGGUCCUAUGGAUUGUAAACCUCUUUUGCCGGGGAGCAAAAAGCGGUACGUGUACCGCAUCGAGAGUACCCGGAGAAAAAGCAUCGGCUAACUCCGUGCCAGCAGCCGCGGUAAUACGGAGGAUGCGAGCGUUAUCCGGAUUUAUUGGGUUUAAAGGGUGCGCAGGCGGCGAGUUAAGUCAGCGGUCAAAUCGUGGGGCUCAACCCCAUCCAGCCGUUGAAACUGGGGAUCUAGAGUGUGUGAGAGGUAUGCGGAAUGCGUGGUGUAGCGGUGAAAUGCAUAGAUAUCACGCAGAACUCCGAUUGCGAAGGCAGCAUGCCGGCUCCACACUGACGCUGAGGCACGAAAGCGUGGGUAUCGAACAGGAUUAGAUACCCCAGUAU
rnacentral:rRNA from 1 species